UACGGAGGGUGCGAGCGUUGUCCGGAAUCAUUGGGCGUAAAGGGCGCGUAGGUGGCCCGGUCAGUUCGUGGUGAAAGCGCGGGGCUCAACCCUGCGUCGGCCAUGAAUACUGCCGCGGCUGGAGCACUGUAGAGGCAGGCGGAAUUCCUGGUGUAGCGGUGAAAUGCGCAGAUAUCAGGAGGAACACCGGUGGCGAAGGCGGGUCUCUGGGCCGUAACUGACGCUGAGGAGCGAAAGCGUGGGGAGCGAACAGG
rnacentral:rRNA from 1 species